rnacentral:rRNA from 1 species
AUUGAACGCUGGCGGCAGGCCUAACACAUGCAAGUCGAGCGAGCGGCGGACGGGUGAGUAAUGUAUGGGGACUGCACGAUAGAGGGGGAUAACUACUGGAAACGGUGGCUAAUACCGCAUACUGUCGGAUAACCCAUAUGGGAUUAGCUAGUGGGUGGGGUAAAGGCUCACCUAGGAGACGAUCUCUAGCUGGUCUGAGAGGAGGUUCAGCAACACUGGGACUGGGACACGGCCCAGACUCCUACGGAGGCAGCAGAGGGGAAUAUUGGACAAUGGGCGCAAGCCUGAUGCAGCAAGGCCGCGUGUAUGAAGAAGGCCUUAGGGUUGUAAAGUACUUUCAGCGGGGAGGCGUUACCCGAAGAAGAAGCACCGGCUAACUCCGUGCCAGCAGCCGCGGUAAUUC